CGGUGACGUUGAGCAAAUCCCAAAAAUAAACGUCUCAGUUCGGAUUGCAGCCUGCAACUCGGCUGCAUGAAGCUGGAAUCGCUAGUAAUCGCGGAUCAGAAUGCCGCGGUGAAUACGUUCCCGGGUCUUGUACACACCGCCCGUCACACCAUGGGAGUUGGAAAUGCCCGAAGUCAGUGGCCCAACCGCAAGGAGGGAGCUGCCGAAGGCAGGUUCGAUGACUGGGGUGAAGUCGUAACAAGGUAGC
rnacentral:rRNA from 1 species